rnacentral:rRNA from 1 species
UUGAACGCUGGCGGAAUGCUUUACACAUGCAAGUCGAGCGGCAGCGCGGGGCAACCUGGCGGCGAGCGGCGAACGGGUGAGUAAUAUAUCGGAACGUACCCUGUCGUGGGGGAUAACACAUCGAAAGAUGUGCUAAUACCGCAUACGACCUGAGGGUGAAAGCGGGGGAUCGCAAGACCUCGCGCGAUAGGAGCGGCCGAUAUCGGAUUAGCUGGUUGGUGGGGUAAAGGCCUACCAAGGCGACGAUCCGUAGCUGGUAUGAGAGGAUGAUCAGCCACACUGGGACUGAGACACGGCCCAGACUCCUACGGGAGGCAGCAGUGGGGAAUUUUGGACAAUGGGCGCAAGCCUGAUCCAGCCAUGCCGCGUGAGUGAAGAAGGCCUUCGGGUUGUAAAACUCUUUCGGCAGGAACGAAACGGUGAGCUCUAACAUAGCUUGCUAAUGACGGUACCUGAAGAAGAAGCACCGGCUAACUACGU